UACAGAGACCUCAAGCGUUAUCCGGAUUUAUUGGGCGUAAAGCGUCCGCAGGUGGUUCUAUAAGUCAGAGGUCAAAACUCAGCGCUUAACGCUGAGGCUGCCUUUGAUACUGCAGAACUUGAGGGUGGAAGAGGUGAGCGGAAUUCUCGGUGUAGUCGUAAUAAGCGUUGAUAUCGAGAAGAACACCAAAUGCGAAGGCAGCUCACUGGUACACACCUGACACUCAUGGACGAAAGCGUGGGGAGCAAACAGG
rnacentral:rRNA from 1 species